AACUGAAGAGUUUGAUCAUGGCUCAGAUUGAACGCUGGCGGCAAGCCUAACACAUGCAAGUCGAACGGUAACGGACCGCUGUGAUCCCUUCGGGGUGAACUUGGUGCCGACGAGUGGCGGACGGGUGAGUAACGCGUAGGAAUCUGCCCAGUAGCGGGGGAUAGCUUGGGGAAACUCAAAUUAAUACCGCAUACGCCCUACGGGGGAAAGCAGGGGAUCUUCGGACCUUGCACUAUUGGAUGAGCCUGCGUUGGAUUAGCUUGUUGGUGGGGUAAAAGCCUACCAAGGCAACGAUCCAUAGCUGGUCUGAGAGGAUGAUCAGCCACACUGGGACUGAGACACGGCCCAGACUCCUACGGGAGGCAGCAGUGGGGAAUAUUGGACAAUGGGCGCAAGCCUGAUCCAG
rnacentral:rRNA from 1 species